rnacentral:rRNA from 1 species
CAGCAGCCACGGGAAUACGUAGGUGGCAAGCGUUGUCCGGAAUUAUUGGGCGUAAAGGGCUCGCAGGCGGUUUCUUAAGUCUGAUGUGAAAGCCCCCGGCUCAACCGGGGAGGGUCAUUGGAAACUGGGAAGCUUGAGUGCAGAAGAGGAGAGUGGAAUUCCACGUGUAGCGGUGAAAUGCGUAGAGAUGUGGAGGAACACCAGUGGCGAAGGCGACUCUCUGGUCUGUAACUGACGCUGAGGAGCGAAAGCGUGGGGAGCGAACAGGAUUAGAUACCCCUGUAGUCCCUGUCUCUUAUAC